rnacentral:rRNA from 1 species
GACGAACGCUGGCGGCGUGCUUAACACAUGCAAGUCGAGCGGUAAGGCCCUUUCGGGGGUACACGAGCGGCGAACGGGUGAGUAACACGUGGGUGACCUGCCCUCAGCUCUGGGAUAAGCCUGGGAAACCGGGUCUAAUACCGGAUAUGACUCCAUGACGCAUGUUGUGGGGUGGAAAGCCUUGUGCGGCUGAGGAUGGGCCCGCGGCCUAUCAGGCUUGUUGGUGGGGUGANGGCCUACCAAGGCGACGACGGGUAGCCGGCCUGAGAGGCGACCGGCCACACUGGGACUGAGACACGGCCCAGACUCCUACGGGAGGCAGCAGUGGGGAAUCUUGCGCAAUGGGCGAAAGCCUGACGCAGCGACGCCGCGUGA